ACAGAUGGUUUAUCAUACUACCAUCUGCCAGAGAAUUACAAGUGAAAAACUUAAAACUCUAAGGACUUGACGGUGCCCCACACCAGCCUAGAGGAGCCUGUCCUAUAAUCGAUACCCCACGCUCCACCUCACCCCCCCUUGCCUAACCCCGCCUAUAUACCGCCGUCGUCAGCCCACCUACUGAUAGCAACAAAAGUCAGCAUAAUAGCACCCCGCUAGCACGUCAGGUCAAGGUGUAGCUAAUGGGGGGGACUAAGAUGGGCUACAUUUGCUAACCGAUAGCAAACCCACUGAAAGCCCCAUGAAACAAAGGGUCAGAAGGCGGAUUUAGCAGUAAACACCGGCAAGACCUGCCCAUUUGAACACCGCUCUGGGGCGCGUACACACCG
rnacentral:rRNA from 1 species